rnacentral:rRNA from 1 species
UACGUAGGCAGCGAGCGUUGUUCGGAGUUACUGGGCGUAAAGAGUGCGUAGGCGGUUUUCUAAGUUUGGUGUGAAAUCUCCCGGCUUAACUGGGAGGGUGCGCCGAAAACUGGAAGGCUGGAGUAUGGGAGAGGUAAGCGGAAUUCCUGGUGUAGCGGUGAAAUGCGUAGAUAUCAGGAGGAACACCUGCGGUGUAGACGGCUUACUGGGCCAUAACUGACGCUGAGGCACGAAAGCGUGGGUAGCAAACAGG